CGGAAGGAUCAUUGUCAAAUCCUUGUACCGAAUGACCUGCGAACACGUUCCGAAAAAUCACAAGCGCUGUUGCGCCCUCGCUCGGUGUUGGUCGGUGACCUGUUGCCGGACGCGUCGAGCAUGGAAAACAAAAAUCCGGCGCGGGAAGCGCCGAGGACUAGCGAAGUAUAGAGGAUGGCCUUUCCCGCGGUAUCCUGGCCGCGGGGAUUAAAGGGCGUCCGAAUGAAAAUGGUUGCGUACAACACGACUCUCGGCAACGGAUAUCUAGGCUCUCGCAUCGAUGAAGAACGUAGCAAACUGCGAUAGUUGGUGUGAAUUGCAGAAUCCCGUGAACCAUGGAGUCUUUGAACGCAAGUUGCGCCCGAAGCCGUCGGGCCGAGGGCACGUCUGCCUGGGCGUCACGCAUUGCGUCGUCCCCCCACCCCCCUCACCCGGGUGCCGAAAGGGUCGCGGGCCGUAGCGUGGGGGGCGGAAGUUGGCUUCCCGUGCAGCGUUUGCGGCUAGCCCGAAACAACGGUUCCCCUCGGCGCGGACGCGGCGACAAGUGGUGGUCGUGGAGAUCGUACGCGAGUUGGCGGGAAAGCUGCGUCGAGGAGAGCAUUCGGACCCCGUGCGAGUCGAGUCCCUUCAGCGGGGAGGGGCAAUCGCAACGAUUGCGACCCCAGGUCAGGC
rnacentral:rRNA from 1 species